AGGGAAGCCAAACAUGCCGCAGACCACGCGGGAGUUCUUGGCCGUCCAGUGCUUGUCACAGAUCUGCUUCCAGGUCUUGCCCUCCUUCACCUCCACGUAGCCCUCCAUCACUGGGGUGCGCUUGCGUCCUUCAGAAAAGCAAUGAAUUCUACUGCUUCCAUGAUGCAAGAGAAAAACAAAUAAAAACAUUCCCAUUGGAGAGAUUAGAAAACCAAGGAGAGAAACAGAGGCUCUUCAAGGUUGAGAAGGACCCCGGGCCAGUCUCCCGACGUGCAGGCCCCGCUCAAACGUGUCUGCUGUCAUGGCUGCCGGACAGGACUCAAAGGAGAGCACUUCAGAUCCAUUGUGGAGAACAAAGGGCUUAUUGAAAACAUCUGGGCUGAGGUUUUCCAACUGGCUUCUCAAUUUGGGCUGGUUUCCAAGCAGUCAAGCUUCACUGAAACAUAGACUCCCUAAUCAAUUGCCGUCUCAACAACAAACCGAUGUUUGUCUUGCUAAGUACUAGCAACGGAAAGGACCCUCCACAUUCUAAGCGGAACAUUCUGUUGCAGAGCUGUGCAAGUGUCACAGAUGGUGAAAAGCAGUGGCACCCUAUUCUGUGUGCAGUGAGAGAAACCCCCCUCGCUAAGGACCUGGAAAUCGACCAGUGCAUCAUCAAAGGAACUGAGAAGAGCUGCAAACCAGAGACCCUACGGAGCCUGCCCCAAAGAGCUUCUCUCUUAUGAACCUUGCAAAGGUCCCCAACAAUCUUCCACGGACCCCUUCCUCACAUGCUUGGUCAGUUUCUACUUAGAAGGCGGGUAUGUAAAUUUGUACUUAGCCCAAGACAGUAUCACCAUGCAUGGUAUACUCAUUUGGCCUCAUUUCAUGACAACACUUUUCGUGUUGGUUUUUUUGAGACAGUGUCUCACUGUUACCCAGGCUGGAGGGCAGCGGUGCAAUCAAAGCUCACUGAAACCUCCGCCUCCCAGGUUCAAGUGAUUCUCCCACCUCAGCCUUCCAAGUAGCUGGGACUACAGGCGCAUGCCACCACGACCGGCUAAUUUUUGUAUUGUUUUGGUAGAGACAGAGCUUCACCAUGUUAGCCAGGCUGAUCUCGAACUCCUGAUCUCAAGCGAUCCACCUGCCUCAGCCUCCCAAAGUGCUGGGAUUACAGGCAUAAACCACUCAACAGGGCCCCUCUUUUUUUUUCUCUGACAACCAGCUCUGACUCCAAAACCAAGGUGUUUCUAGGCACAGUCCAGAUGCCUCCUCAGAGCUGCCAAGAGAGCCGUGUCCUUGGGACGCAAGAUGAGAGUCAAAACUUUGGACACAAGAAAGCCAUUCAAUCAGAAGCCAAAUUUUAUCUUACUCUUUUCCUUCCAAUGCCUCUCCCGAUGAAAGAAGAGAUAUAUACACAAGUUAACAGAUCAUUAGGAAGAUAAAAAUCAUAAAUGAAAUUCAGUUGGAAUGUGAGAGCCCAGGGCAAUGGAAAUUAUUCAAGUUAGAAUCUGUGGGGUCGAGACCAGGUGCGGUGGGUCAGCCUGUAAUCCCAGCAAUUUGGGAGGCUGAGUUUGGGAGGCUGGGUGGUCGGAUCACUUGAGGCCACGAGUUUGAGACC